rnacentral:lncRNA from 1 species
AUGAAUCAAAAUGUAAGAUCAGCGAUACUCUGCAAUGACUUCUUCAGGCAAGUUUUGGUUGGGCUGUGGGUUUCCAGUUGUCACCAGGGUAAAUAUCAAAAUAACUUCUGUCCUAUUUACGAAGUUCUAUUGUUCUCCUUUUGCACAGUGUUAAUGAUCCUUCUUCAUGCAGUUAAAGGCUCACUUCUAUUCCAUUCUGAAAUGCUUGGUUGGUGACUAUAGUCACAAAGGGGAGCAGUACUUCCUUCCAGCAUGAAGUGUUCUUAUACUGUACCAUGACACACAGCGGCAGAAAUUCAAGACUUCUCUGAUGUUAAAACUGAGUCAAAGGCUGUUGAUAACACUUUGCAAAUAGCUUGUGCUUGUUCCUGUGUUGUGUAACACCAUAAAAAUCAGUUAAUCGUGCUCAAAAGCAUAUUUUCACUAGCAUUUUCUUAAGUGCUCUGGCUAUUACAUGAUGUAUUUCAGCAAAAACUCCCAUCUGUUAAACUUCAAGCAGAACAUGAUUUACAUAAUGUUUUCAGCGCUUAUACAGACUGAAACAGGAGAGCUGUGUGUUAAAUUCUAUUGUUUGCAAUUAUGCCUGCAGACAUCUCCGUUUUAAAAUAACUUAGGUGUGAAAAAAAGACAAUUUUUAGUCUUUUAUUAUUUAUGUUUAUAGGGUGUAACCAGCAUCCUAAAGUUACUCCACUUGCUCCUUUAUGCCUUUGCCAAACCAUCUGAAGCGUUGGUAGCAUGGAGACUAGAAAGCAUAUACUACCACGAUACUCUGGCAUUCUCUCAUCUGCUGCUUUCCUUAAUAUACCACAGGAGGCGAUCAGCUCCUCCAAUGGCAAUAUAAUGCCAGACUGAACGCAUAGUGCCACUGAUACGAUAGCCCUGCCCUGCUGGAGGAACAGAGCAAACAUGGAGAGGGAAAAAGACUGUUGUAUUUGCAUGUACAAAGUGGAGCGCUCUCUGACCGCUAUCUUUACCAGUGAUCAGGCGUAGCACAGCAGAUUGGGCAUCAUCAGCUACACUAUAAUUGCUUCACUGAUUAAAUAGGUUUUUGCCUAGUCAGUCAACGUUUUACUAGUUGAAGACAACUGGGCACAACUCCUUUUGUUGCCAGUACAUCCUUUUUUACUUAUUUUUUAGGAAGUACAACUAUUAUCCAUAAGGAUGGGAGAAUUGCAUAUUCCAAGGGAUACUACCUAAAGAACUAAGGAAAAGGCUGGUCAUAUGAUACCUUUGUAAUUUUAGAGCAGUAAAGGUAGUGAUUCUCAAACAAAGUUAAUCCACUGCAUCCUAUGAUUUUUUCCCCCUUAAAUAUGGAGCCAUUUAUUCUCUGUGAAACCAGUUAACCCUUCAGCUGCCAGAAGGCUGUGAUUAUGCAAGAGGUGCUACACCUGGGCUGUCCCAUACAACAGUGCAGAAUGUUACCACUGGGUUUCUGUGCUGUUAAAAAUACCAUGUUCUAAGUGUGAAGCAUGAAGGUAAUGAAGUUAGACACCAGAAUGUAUUGGUACCUAAAUUAAGAACUGUAAACAUGAAUUCUUACCAGACUAUUACACUGAUACACCCAGAGACUGUAUUCUUCAUAACCUGCAUCUGUCGUCUUCAAAGCCAAUAAACUCUUUCCUGCUCCCA